rnacentral:lncRNA from 1 species
AGCAUGUGACCAAGGGUCACAUGGGAGCCUGAGCCAGGGGAAUCUGGGAAGAUUCUAUGACCAACAGUUGGUCUUCUCAGUGUGUGAUCUCCUUGAAUUACCUAGUCUGCUCUCCUGGAAGACCUUAAAGAGGAGUUUGCCUGUGACCAAUGGAGGAAGGAAUUUUUUCUGGAUCUGUCUGUUGGCAGCAUCAGUCUGGACUUACUUGGACAUCUAACAAGAAAAGAUCCUGACUCUAUUGGAUUUGGACUCCUGGCAUGAAAUUGCAAUAUUUGGGAGGUUAAGGUUUUAAUUUGAUAUCAUGAUUGCAACUCCUGACUCCUUUCUAUCAGUUGAGGCUCAGAAGUUCUUACUCUGUCCUUUAAUUCUGACCUUGUGAGUGUCUACCUGCCUCAUGUGUGUUUCUUGAAGACAACAUAUGGUAGGGUUUUGGAUUCUAAUCCACUCUGCUAUUUGUCUACAUUUUAUAGAGAAAGGAUGGUGGUGAAGGGGGAAGCUAAAAUAUCAAGAAAUGAGAGGCCCAGAGCAAGAGAAGAAAAGGAGCUUUUGGAGUGGAGCUGGUGGAGGGAACCAGAUACUGACUUAGUGAUGCUGGGGCUGCUACUGAUGCUGAUGCUGAGAAGCCUGGAUUUCUCGUCGGGUCCUUGCCUUAAAAUCCAAGUAAGGAGUAGAGUUUGGAGAACUGGGAGCCUGGUGAGAGAAUAAAGCUAAAAGGUACAGAGCUUCUGUCCAUAAAAUAUGUCCAAUUGCCACCUGGUGUUGGAAUUUAGGGUAACAAAAAAACCAAUUUCCUCAUUUUUUAUAUGUUGCUCAGCAAUUACCAUGAGAGAAAACAAACAA